rnacentral:rRNA from 1 species
UCGAUUAGUUUGAUCAUGGCUCAGGAUGAACGCUGGCGGCGUGCUUAACACAUGCAAGUCACGGGGGCCAGCAAUGGCAACCGGCGAACGGGUGCGUAACACGUGAGCAACCUACCGAAAUGAGGGGGAUAGCCGGCCCAACGGCCGGGUAAUACCGCAUACGCUCGAGACCAGGCAUUUGGACUCGAGGAAACCUCCGGGGCAUUUCGAGGGGCUCGCGGCCUAUCAGCUAGUUGGUGAGGUAACGGCUCACCAAGGCGACGACGGGUAGCUGGUCUGAGAGGAUGGCCAGCCACAUUGGGACUGAGAUACGGCCCAGACUCCUACGGGAGGCAGCAGUGGGGAAUCUUGCGCAAUGGCCUAACGGCUGACGCAGCGACGCCGCGUGAGGGAUGACGCUCUUCGGAGUGUAAACCUCUUUUGCCUGAGACGAAUUGUCAGCUUUAGCUGAUUUGACUGUAUCGGGUGAAUAAGCACCGGCUAACUCCGUGCCAGCAGCCGCGGUAAUACGGGGGGUGCGAGCGUUGUCCGGAAUCACUGGGCGUAAAGGGCGCGUAGGUGGCCUGAUAAGGGUGUGGUGAAAGUCCGGGGCUCAACCCCGGAUCUGCCGUGCCGACUGUUAGGCUAGAGUACUGUAGGGGCAGGCGGAAUUCCGGGUGUAGCGGUGGAAUGCGUAGAGAUCCGGANGAAGACCGGUGGCGAAGGCGGCCUGCUGGGCUG